rnacentral:tRNA from 2 species
GGGUGUUUAGCUCAGCUGGUAGAGCGGCGCCCUUACAAGGCGUAGGUCGGCGGUUCGAUCCCGUCAACACCCACCA